AUCACCAUGGCCAUUUGCCAAAAGUGCCUAGCGGGAACCUGUUUGGGCUAGGUCAUCACCGUCCCUUUUCUGGAACGCUAGAUUGAAGAAUAAAGUACAUCGACCUGAAAAUAGAAACCUAGGGCGGAGACAGAGAGAACCUCAGGAAAGGUAAAUCGUUAAACACCACCAAGCCAUUAACAUGGGGUCUCAGCUCUAUGGGGCCCUUGCCCUUGAACAACUAAAUGUUUUAUUGAAGAUGAAGUAUACCUGCAUGAAAAAGCAGCAUUUGGAAGUUCCUGGGCUAGAGG